rnacentral:rRNA from 1 species
UAGAGGAAGUAAAAGUCGUAACAAGGUCUCCGUAGGUGAACCUGCGGAGGGAUCAUUACAGAGUUCAUGCCCUACACGGGUAGAUCUCCCACCCUUUGUUAUCAUUACCUUCGUUGCUUUGGCGGGCCGUCAGGCCUCGGUCAGGCUACCGGCUCUAGCUGGUAAGCGCCCGCCAGAGGACCCCAAACUCUGAAUAUUAGUGUCGUCUGAGUACUAUAUAAUAGUUAAAACUUUCAACAACGGAUCUCUUGGUUCUGGCAUCGAUGAAGAACGCAGCGAAAUGCGAUAAGUAAUGUGAAUUGCAGAAUUUAGUGAAUCAUCGAAUCUUUGAACGCACAUUGCGCCCCUUGGUAUUCCGAGGGGCAUGCCUGUUCGAGCGUCAUUACAACCCUCAAGCAAUGCUUGGUAUUGGGCUCCGCUGCUCACCCAGCCAGCCUUAAAAUCAGUGGCGGUGCCGUUGGGCCCUGAGCGUAGUAAACAUCCUCGCUAUAGGGACCCGGUGGACACUAGCCAUCAACCCCCAUUUUCCAAGUUUGACCUCGGAUCAGGUAGGGAUACCCGCUGAACUUAAGCAUAUCAA